CCCUCCUCCUGCCGGGCCGGGCCGCCCACAGCCCUGCCCCCGCCGCGGCUCUCCCGCCUCACCUCGGCUGGCGGCGGAGCUCCCCCCUCCUUGAGGCGGACAGGUGUGGAGCUCUGAGCGGCCGUAGUGCAGUACAAUAAUAUAGCAAGAGGCAGCUCGGCCGGCAAAGAGUUAAACUGAACCAAACCGGCACAUUAUGGGAGGAUUUAUUUGCUUAGUACAUCAACAAGUGCGAUGGGCAGCGCAGGUGGAAGCAGUGCAUGCCAGUCCUCCAUUCAGGCAUGCUUCACAGCUAAGUAAACCUAAAUCAAAAGAGUGAGUGCUUUCAGGGCCCUGAGCUCGUCUGUUUCUGUAGGGGCUGGAGUUUUGUGGCAUUCAGGUAAAAUCAUCUGAAUUGUGAAAUAGAAUGGUUGGAAGGGAUGUGCCCUUGCAGCCCAGAGAGCCAGUUGUAUCCUGGGCUGAAACAAAGGCUGGAUGUAAGUUUUUUGUCCACAGUGAAGGUGGUGAGGUGGCAUAGAGCAGGCUGCACAGAGAGGUGGUGGUGCUCUGAUCUUUGAGGCUCUCAAGGUCAGGCUGCACAGGGCUCUGGGCACCUAAUGGAGCUGUAGGUGUCCCUGCUCACUGUAGGGGACUUGGGCCAGAUGACUUUAAGGCUCCCUUCCAACUCAAAUGGUUCUGUUAUUCUGCAGUGUCUCACUAGUUUGUGGAAGCUUGGGGAUGGAACGGAGGUCAGCAGAAGGCUGGAGCUGUGUAACUGCUGGAAUUGCAUCGCCUUGCCUGCUCACUCAGGAGCACCACAGCCCCAUGUAGAGGCAUCAGGCUGUGUCCACACUGUCUGCCAACCUCACAUCAGAGUCUGUGCCCAUCAAGCUAGAAUUCAUUUGUAUUGAACACUGGCUUGCAUCUAAUCAAAGGCUUAGGCCAUGCUCUGUGACAGAGAAGUUCAGACCUUAGCACAGAACCAGUCUCAUUCAUUCAGCCUGCAAUUCAGUUGGUGAGGACAGGAAACAUGUGGGUGAACUUGGAGUAUUGGGAAGACAAACCCCAAGGAAAUUUCAACUGGACUCAAGCCUUUAAAUUUAGGAACUCUGUCUGGUUAGUGCACGCUGGAGAUGUUUAUCAGGUCUGAUGACCUGGUUUUUGGAGUGGACAACGUGCCCAUGUAUAAUUAAGAUAUGGUGAAAGUUUAUUGUAUAAGUGUGCUGGAAUUUUGGUUUGGCUUUGCAAUAAAGGGAUCACUGAGUCACAGUUGCUAAACAGACCACGGAGGAUACAGGUCUCUGCUGCCGAGCUGGCAUAAAUGUAAGGAACUGAAAUUAAUUUAUUUCCUAGUCCAGGCAAAAGCAUCCAUGCUGUAAAUAAGGCUGUGGCUUGAUGACACAAAGCCUUUGCUGUGUGACUGGUUCCUAGCUGCUCCUUGUUCCUGCCAUUCCUUAGCUGUGCCUGCAGCUCUUUGUGGCUGAAAUGGGAUCCUGAAUGGAUGUGAUGGAUACCAAUCCAUCAGAAAAACAACCUAUGUGAAAAUAUUUGUAAAUAUAUUUUAAAUUAUGUAAAGAUAUUUAAAAUAGAUGCACGUGUUCUUUAAGUUCAUCCAUCAUCUAAUUUAUUAUUCAGAGGCUAUGGAUGGAUUUUGUUCGUCCUUGCUACUACAGGAGCAAGCAAAAGUGUAGCAACAUGGCUAAAUGUGAAACUGAGCCCAGUGAAGAAGGUUGUGUUCCUCAAACAAUGGUUGAAUAUUCGGUCAGUAAAGCGUAAAUGGAUUGCUUUAUGGGAUUGUUGUGCAAUCAGUUAAUGUGUUGUGUGUGUUUGAAUAGCAUCUCUUGUGCUGUUUGAGAUGUACACAUUUUGCAUUAAAGGCAGCUCAACAACUGGGAUAGUUUUUCUGGUAGCACUCAAAUUAUAACCUGGGUUAGCCAUACAUUGAAGAGAAGGCCAAUGUGUUGUUGCGGCACCUCUUACAAACCCCGCUGUCUAUUGGUCUCCAUUCCUGGUGCUAUCGAUUUCAAGACAACAGAGUUCUUCUGUGGGACUCUAGGAGUCUUUCUGUUGUUGUUGCUUGUUUGAGUUGUGAGUUUUGUCAAUUUACAUGUGUGCUUUUUGGUAACUGAGAAAACUCCCUGUGAUAAAAUACAGCAGUCUCAGCUCCAGCCUCUAUCUGCUCUGAGUGCUGUAAUUACCUCCCUGUGAUGGCAUCAUUUGUACAAUAACCCCUGUCACGCUAUGUGCAGAAAGGUUACGGGCCACAUUCCAGUGCAAUGCACACAUCAGGAUUAAAACGCCACUUUCUGAUGCACAGAACUAGAUACACUACACACACUCACAUGUUUAUGGAGCGUUACUAUUUCUUUUAUUUAACAUGAAGGUUUAGAAAGUAUUACUUGUAAAAUCUGAUAGUGAAAAUAGAAAAUGAAUAAAUAAAUGGGUAGGAUAAAUAAGAGCAGGAAAACUGAAUGGCGAAGCGAGAUCACACCACACAAAGAUUUCCAGGUUAGUCUGACACCAUUAAUAAUGCAUAAACCUCGGUCAACGUGUGUGUUUCUAUCGUCCUCUUGUGGGAAGGUACAAAGCAUAAAUGACUGCACAGUAAUAAUUUGGGAACCAACUUUGAUGUUUCAUCACAAACAAACCUAAAUUCCCAACCCACACACAAGAAUGUAAACACGCUUUAAGAAAACAUCCCACAAACAAGGAGAGGGAGUCAUCCCAGGAAUUUGUGAUUAAAUGGCAUGGAAUCUCCCUUUUGCACAAAGCAGACCAAUGGACAUACGUGUGCGUGAAGGCACGGUAGAUUCAGCUAAAGCCAAAGUGCUAAACACACUGCUUGAACUCAUCUCCCCCAUUCUAUAGUGCUUUCAUGAUCCUUUUGCACUGUUUCAUUAUGUUUGCUGCAAAUUCACCUUAUGUAUGCAUUGCAUCCUGUGUAUGCAUAGGAUGUAGCUGAUGUGCCAUUGUUACAACUAUAUAAAUGAGAGCAAGAGGUGCGUUAAGAAAGGUAGCGUGAGAAUUUUGUGUAUGUUAGUAAUAACUUAUGGCUGCUUUACUUUCUCAUUCUUCCUUGUGGUGUUUUAUUAACGCUGGUUAGUUAUUAACUAUGCUGGGUUCCUAUAUUUGUUGAAGCUGUAAAACACUUUCACUAGAAGUAAACAGAUUGAUUCUCUGCUUGUAGAAAAGUGCAUUUGGCAGAUACAAAGAGGACAUCUGGCUUUCCCUGGGAGGGGAGUAGCCCAUCCUGCUUGCAACAGCGGUGCAGAUAUGAUAACAUGACACAAAGGAAUUAAGGUCCUAAGUGAGGCCAUGGUAGCGUGCUGCUGUCUUCCUGGAGGAGCAGGAGUCACAGGAAGUCUGUAGCACUACUCCUAGUGCACGCAAAUCCCCUGCCGCUGUGCUUUGGAAGCAGCAGGAAGGAUAAUACUGAGUUUUGAAGUGAAAUACAGUGCAGAGCACAGUGUGAAAAGUGAAGUCUCCUGCAAGCAAGUGGAAACCUGGAUCCCCAUCAAGAAGUGACAUAAUUCAACUCUCUGCAAGAGUUCAAAGGCUGCAUCUUAAAAAUCCCAACCCCCACUUAUCUGGUGGGUUUUUUAACCAGCAGAGGAAGUAGUUUGUCUCCCGGUUCAGCAAACACAGCUAACAGCUUUUCAAAACGACCAGUUACUCUUUGCUAGCAUUCUGCAUUUUUGCCUGGAAAGAAGAAGAAAAACAUUGUCCUUAGGAACAGUCUCCACAAUCAUCCAUAAUAACAGAACAAGACAUACAUUCUUUCAUCCACUGCAUUUAGAAAAUGUGCAGCUUCCCCUUGACCUGCUGCAGAGGAGACAGUAAGUAUCUGUGUGAUGAGAUCCAGAGGCUGUGUCUUGAAACCCAUUUGGAUAAAAUGGAAAAUCUAAGAAAUGUAUCUUCUAAGCAAAGGAGGACUGGUGAGAUCCGAUUCAUUCAGAUCACAAUGAUUACAGAGCCUAUCAACUCAUCUAUUUGCUUCAUAUUCGGCAUCUUUCCCUCUCUAGGAAUCAAACUGAAACACUGUCAUUUUGGAUAAACCUGGUCCAUCUUGUGAUGGAUAGAAUUAUUGCCACCAAAGGAAGCUGACAAGCAAAAGGAAACCCAAAGUUGGUUUGAUGAAUCUCCCUCCGUGCUCCUGCUUAUUCCAAAAUCUUCAAUAAUGGGCAAAAAUCUGACAGAGCAGAAAGUCACCAGCUGUUCUGAGCUCAUCUGCAGCUCACACAGCUGCCUAGAGAACAGAACUUGCUUGAUUAAACUGGAGAGAUUUCAGAAAAGCGCAGCAAAACUUUACAUGAAUUAAACAGGUUUAAGUAAGCAGUGACUAAGCAGCACAGAUGAGCUUACAGGGGAGGAAGAUACUGAGCGAAGCCAGUGAGAGCAUCUGGGGAGAAAUGGCAUGAAUUCAAAAGUUCAUCUAAAUGCAGAGCUCUUCUGACUUGAUUUAAGCGUGAUUUAAAAUGAUUUAGUUAAAGAAGUUCAAAAGGCUAAGCAGGCACUCUUGUUUUGAUAUAAACCAUAUCUGGAGUUAAAAUAUUUGGAAAUAUAUCAUACGCUAAACACCAAAAUUAUUCUUUUAAGCCAAAGGAAGAGUGAUUGCAGAGGUAUUCCUUGCCAAACUAAACCAGCACAGAGGUGCGAACGGAGUGGGACAAGGAAGGGAGAGCCAGCAGGAGGAGGGUGAGAAAGUAUCUGAGGAGGAGUCCUGCUUUGUCUCCAGAGGUGAUCGAUGGGACAGCAUUUUCUAGGACCAUUGUCUCUGCUUUUGAGGAUUUUAGAAUGGGUCUAGGGACCUUUUUAACUUAAUUGCAUGCCCUUCCUAUGCUAGUCCCAAAAGAGACAACGUCAGCUCAUAAGAAGUCUUGGAAAAUACAUGAACAACUCAAGACUGGCCAAUAUAUCAUCAUAUUCUGCCACCCUGGGGUCAUGCACUGCCUCUGCAGACUUCAGGGUGAUUUGACCCAAAGCCUUUCAGCUUGGCACAGGGAAACCCCACCGUCACAACGAGGUGGUGGUCUUCCAGUUUGCCAUGUGAAACAAUUAGACAAUGGUCCUCUGGUACAACAUUUCCUUCCUUGCCACAGGAAAGUGCUCCUUCAGCUGAACACCUGGCACAGCGCCUAUGCAAUGCGGGCACCCAGGGUACCAGCACUUCUGUCUGAGCCAUUUCUUGAAACUGAGAUCUGAAUUUUCCAUUUUCCUCCUACUUUUCAAAUGUAAUACUGGGAUCACAACAACCCGAGGAACCUGAAUUCAGAUGUUAAGAUUUAAGCUAUCUCUACUGAAAAUACAGACAACUGUCAUGUAAGUAUCCUUACCAAGCAAGUCAGAAGGGGACUGGCUUUCCUUUUAAAUUAUCUUUUGAAUUAUCUUUUUCUAAUAUCUUCUGUGACUCACAAGCCAGUCUACAAUGCUCAGGAUAUCAGAAACACUUCGCUUAGUGCGUUCCUAGCGCAGUUUGUCAUUCAAGUGACUUUUUCCAACUUUUAGUUACACUCUACUCACAGUGCUUUGUGCAUCCCUGAGGGAGGCAGUACAGCCUGGUAGCUGUUGGGAAGUGCUUGGAGUGGAUGUUACAAAGGACACCGGUUUUGAGCUCAGCGGAAGCGCUUCGGCGCAGCUGUGUAACCUUGGGGCAGAUCACUCAACUGCUUUGUGCCCAAGUGAACCCAGCUGCAAGGCGUCUUGGAAACCAGAUGGUGCACAAGGUUUCAAUCAUUCAGGAAAAUUAAGAGGGAUAUGGGGAGUGGGGAAAAAAAAGUUAAUUCUGUAGUACAUUGCUUCCAACAGAGUUGAUUUGGAUUUAAGCAGAAUAACUGAGAAUUUGAUUUGAUAACCAGAAUCUCUCCAAACCCCACCCCCUACUUCCAGCCAAAACCACAAACCCCGCCAUUUCCCUCAAAUUGCUUUUUCCUGUUCUCCCUUGACUUUAUGUCAAGUAUCUUCUCUCUAGAAGUUUCAUUUCAAAGCUCCAGUAGAAUACAUUUUUUCCCUUUGGAAGAUUGAAGAGAUUCAGAAUAGGCUUCUGUGUGGCUAAUCUUUGAUAUUUUAUGUGGUCAUUUUUAGGCACUGAAUUUUGUAUUGUUCUCUUUAUGCUUUUCAUGCUACUGCUCUCUUUCCUCCUUGCUGAGCAAAAAUGGCACAGCAGCGUGCUCCAGUGCUUCAGUACUAUGCUGUGAACAAAAAUGCUGAGCUCAAUCAUCCCCUGUAGAUGGUUUUAUAGCCACCCUGCUCUACUUGUUCCUUAUUGCCACAUAGGGAACUUACACAAAAAUGACAAGUAGACCAUUGAGAACCUGCCUACAGAAUGAUGCUAAAAGG